rnacentral:rRNA from 1 species
CGCAAGCCUGACGGAGCAAGACCGCGUGAGGGAGGAAGGCUCUUGGGUUGUAAACCUCUUUUCUCAGGGAAGAACAAAAUGACGGUACCUGAGGAAUAAGCCUCGGCUAACUCCGUGCCAGCAGCCGCGGUAAUACGGAGGAGGCAAGCGUUAUCCGGAAUUAUUGGGCGUAAAGCGUCCGCAGGUGGCUUGUCAAGUCUGCUGUCAAAGGUCAAGGCUUAACCUUGAAAAGGCAGUGGAAACUGACAAGCUAGAGGGCUCUAGGGGUAGAGGGAAUUCCCGGUGUAGCGGUGAAAUGCGUAGAGAUCGGGAAGAACAUCGGUGGCGAAAGCGCUCUACUGGAGAGCAACUGACACUCAGGGACGAAAGCUAGGGGAGCG